UACGUAGGGGGCCAGCGUUGUCCGGAAUCAUUGGGCGUAAAGCGCGCGUAGGCGGUCAGGUAAGUCCGGUGUGAAAGUCAUAGGCUCAACCUAUGAAUGCCGCUGGAAACUGCCUGACUUGAGUCCGGAAGGGGCGAGUGGAAUUCCUGGUGUAGCGGUGAAAUGCGCAGAUAUCAGGAAGAACACCAAUGGCGAAGGCAGCUCUCUGGGACGGUACUGACGCUGAGACGCGAAAGCGUGGGGAGCGAACAGG
rnacentral:rRNA from 1 species